rnacentral:lncRNA from 1 species
GGAAUUCCUUGAUUAUGCUAAUACCACCUAGAGAUAGGGGUAGGACGAUCAAUUGUAUUUUGCUUCCGUUUAUCAUGCAUUAUUAAUUACUAGGGGAGGCUAGAGAUAGCAAGCCGGUAAUUAGUAAUAGGCUCUUUUUGCCAAGAGAUUGGGUUAAGGGUAGACCAAGAAAGUUUGCAUUAAAAUAUAAUAAAUAAGCGAAUUAAAUAAGAAAAGUAUAUAUAAGAGGGUGGAUAAGAUGAAAUUGUAAACCCCAACAACUCCAUUCAUCCAUAGUCUUUUCUAGCCAAUUGAUUCACUACAUUUGCAUGUUUACUAUUGUUCUUACAUUCAAAAACCUAAAUUUAAUUCUUUUCUCAAGUCUUACACAAUUAGGUUACACGAAAGUUAAGGCCUAAGAGUCCUUUGGGAAAUGAUACUUGGACGUACCCAUUUUAUAUUACUUGAUAACGAUCUGGUACACUUGCCAGGAACUUAACACUAACUAUAUGGGGAAUCAGUUCCAAAAUAGGUAAGGAAAUUUCAACCAAGGUAAUUUUAACCAAGGUUGGAAG